AGGACGAACGCUGGCGGCGUGCCUAACACAUGCAAGUCGAACGAGGUCCAACCGGUGGCAACACUGGUGAAGACCUAGUGGCGAACGGGUGAGUAUCACGUGAGCAACCUGCCCCGAAGACUGGGAUAACACCGGGAAACCGGUGCUAAUACCGGAUACCCCCACCGGAUCGCAUGGUCUGGUGAGGAAAUGAAUUUUGCUUUGGGAGGGACUCGCGGCCUAUCAGCUUGUUGGUGGUGUAACGGACCACCAAGGCUUCGACGGGUAGCUGGUCUGAGAGGACGAUCAGCCACACUGGGACUGAGACACGGCCCAGACUCCUACGGGAGGCAGCAGUGGGGAAUCUUGCGCAAUGGGCGAAAGCCUGACGCAGCAACGCCGCGUGAGGGACGAAGGCCUUCUGGGUUGUAAACCUCUUUCAGCAGGGACGAUGAUGACGGUACCUGCAGAAGAAGCCCCGGCCAACUACGUGCCAGCAGCCGCGGU
rnacentral:rRNA from 1 species